UACGUAGGAUGCAAGCGUUCUCCGGAAUUAUUGGGCGUAAAGAGCUCGUAGGCGGUUCGUCGCGUCGGCUGUGAAAUCCCGAGGCUCAACCUCGGGUCUGCAGUCGAUACGGGCGGACUGGAGUUCGGCAGGGGAGACUGGAAUUCCUGGUGUAGCGGUGAAAUGCGCAGAUAUCAGGAGGAACACCGGUGGCGAAGGCGGGUCUCUGGGCCGAUACUGACGCUGAGGAGCGAAAGCGUGGGGAGCGAACAGG
rnacentral:rRNA from 1 species